rnacentral:rRNA from 1 species
CCCUUAGAUGUUCUGGGCUGCACGCGCGCUACACUGAAGCUAUCAACACGUUUUCCCUCCCUGAGAAGGGCGGGUAACCUUUUGAAUCAGCUUCGUGGUAGGGAUCGGGGCUUGCAAUUGUUCCCCGUGAACCAGGAAUGCCUAGUAGACGCGAGUCAUAAGCUCGCAUCGAUUAAGUCCCUGCCCUUUGUACACACCGCCCGUCGCUACUACCGAUUGAACGUUUUAGUGAGGCAUUUGGACCGACGCAUCUCAGUUUAACCGCUGGUUUGUGUUGGAAAGACUUCCAAACUUGAGCGUUUAGAGGAAGUAAAAGUCGUAACA